rnacentral:rRNA from 1 species
GUCCCGCAACGAGCGCAACCCCUGUUUUUAGUUGCCAGCAAGUAAUGUUGGGGACUCUAGAAAGACUGCCUGCGUAAGCAGAGAGGAAGGAGGGGACGACGUCAAAUCAGCAUGGCCCUUAUGCCUAGGGCUACACACGUGCUACAAUGGCGUAUACAAAGGGUAGCGAACCAGUGAUGGUAAGCCAAUCUCUAAAAGUACGUCUCAGUUCGGAUUGAAGUCUGCAACUCGACUUCAUGAAGCUGGAAUCGCUAGUAAUCGUGUAUCAGCAAUGACACGGUGAAUACGUUCCCGGACCUU